CAUGUUUUUAUAUUAUUAAAUCAUUGUAAACUUAGCACUAUAAUAAAAACGGUCUAUAGCGACACUUUUAAAUAUAGCUACAUGUCAAAAAAAUGCUGCUAGCUAAAAUUACCGAUACUUUUAAAAAGUGUUGCUAUAUGUGGGGUCGUUAGGUAUAUAGUGACAGUUAAAAAGUGUCGCUAUAACCUAAAAGAGUGCUGCUAAUUUACCAACACUUAUUUAAGCAUUUAGUAACCGCCGAAACUCUAUCUCGUUGGCUGCGGUGGCGGAGGAGGACGACAGGAAAGACUCUUUGUCUAGAAUUUCAGUGAAUUGAGUGAAGAGAGAAGAAAAGAUGGUAAUUGAUUUUUCUUUUUUUUUUUCUUUUCUGUUUGUAAUCGGGCCAAAUGGACUGGGUGUGGUGGGUUGAGUAGAAUAAUCUUUUAUUUUUGGUUGGAUUGGGCUUUAUAUUUAGGUAUUAGUAGAUAUUUUUUUAAGUUUUAACAUAAAUGGGACACUUACUCAAAAGUGUCCCAAAAAUGUGUCCCUAUAACCUAAUUCUGUUGUAGUGUAGGACUGAUAAGCUAGCUAGGAUCAGUUGAUUUUUGAUC
rnacentral:lncRNA from 1 species